rnacentral:miRNA from 1 species
UGAAUGCUAAAGACUGGAAGACA